UACACUCCUGCGGGAGGCAGCAGUGGGGAAUAUUGGACAAUGGGCGCAAGCCUGAUCCAGCCAUGCCGCGUGAGUGAUGAAGGCCCUAGGGUUGUAAAGCUCUUUCACCGGAGAAGAUAAUGACGGUAUCCGGAGAAGAAGCCCCGGCUAACUUCGUGCCAGCAGCCGCGGUAAUACGAAGGGGGCUAGCGUUGUUCGGAAUUACUGGGCGUAAAGCGCACGUAGGCGGAUCGAUCAGUCAGGGGUGAAAUCCCAGGGCUCAACCCUGGAACUGCCUUUGAUACUGUCGAUCUGGAUUAUGGAAGAGGUGAGUGGAAUUCCGAGUGUAGAGGUGAAAUUCGUAGAUAUUCGGAGGAACACCAGUGGCGAAGGCGGCUCACUGGUCCAUUACUGACGCUGAGGUGCGAAAGCGUGGGGAGCAAACAGGAUUAGAUACCCUUGUAGUCCCAUGAU
rnacentral:rRNA from 1 species